GACAGAGGGUGCAAACGUUGUUCGGAAUUACUGGGCGUAAAGCGCACGUAGGCGGCUUUGUAAGUUAGAGGUGAAAGCCCGGGGCUCAACUCCGGAACUGCCUUUAAGACUGCAUCGCUUGAAUUGUGGAGAGGUAAGUGGAAUUCCGAGUGUAGAGGUGAAAUUCGUAGAUAUUCGGAAGAACACCAGUGGCGAAGGCGACUUACUGGACACAUAUUGACGCUGAGGUGCGAAAGCGUGGGGAGCAAACAGG
rnacentral:rRNA from 1 species